AUCCUUUAAUUGUUUCAUGAGCAUGAUGAUUGUGUGUUUACACCCUCGUAUGACAUGCACCUCCCAUAAACCUUGUUUUGAAGACAGUAAUUUACCCACCUACA